AUGUGUGGACGGGAUAAGGGCUGAAAGCAUCUAAGCAUGAAGCCCCCCUCAAGAUGAGAUUUCCCAACUUCGGUUAUAAGAUCCCUCAAAGAUGAUGAGGUUAAUAGGUUCGAGGUGGAAGCAUGGUGACAUGUGGAGCUGACGAAUACUAAUCGAUCGAAGACUUAAUCAA
rnacentral:rRNA from 1 species